rnacentral:rRNA from 1 species
UGGGGAAUUUUGGACAAUGGACGCAAGUCUGAUCCAGCCAUGCCGCGUGCGGGAAGAAGGCCUUCGGGUUGUAAACCGCUUUUGUCAGGGAAGAAACGAGUUUCUCUAAUACAGAGACUUAAUGACGGUACCUGAAGAAUAAGCACCGGCUAACUACGUGCCAGCAGCCGCGGUAAUACGUAGGGUGCAAGCGUUAAUCGGAAUUACUGGGCGUAAAGCGUGCGCAGGCGGUUAUGUAAGACAGAUGUGAAAUCCCCGGGCUCAACCUGGGAACUGCCUUUGUGACUGCAUAGCUAGAGUACAGUAGAGGGGGAUGGAAUUCCGCGUGUAGCAGUGAAAUGCGUAGAUAUGCGGAGGAACACCGAUGGCGAAGGCAAUCCCCUGGACCUGUACUGACGCUCAUGCACGAAAGCGUGGGGAGCAAACA